rnacentral:rRNA from 1 species
UACGAAGGGGGCUAACGUUGUUCGGAAUCACUGGGCGUAAAGGGCGCGUAGGCGGCCGAUCAAGUCGGGGGUGAAAGCCUGUGGCUCAACCACAGAAUUGCCUUCGAUACUGUUUGGCUUGAGACCGGAAGAGGUAAGUGGAACUGCGAGUGUAGAGGUGAAAUUCGUAGAUAUUCGCAAGAACACCAGUGGCGAAGGCGGCUUACUGGUCCGGUUCUGACGCUGAGGCGCGAAAGCGUGGGGAGCAAACAGG